rnacentral:rRNA from 1 species
AACGAACGCUGGCGGCAGGCUUAACACAUGCAAGUCGAACGGGCGUAGCAAUACGUCAGUGGCAGACGGGUGAGUAACACGUGGGAACCUUCCUCGUAGUACGGAACAACUCAGGGAAACUUGAGCUAAUACCGUAUACGUCCGAGAGGAGAAAGAUCUAUCGCUAUGAGACGGGCCCGCGUCCGAUUAGGUAGUUGGUGGGGUAUCGGCCUACCAAGCCGACGAUCGGUAGCUGAUCUGAGAGGAUGAUCAGCCACACUAGGACUGAGACACGGCCCAGACUCCUACGGGAGGAAGCAGUGGGGAAGCUUGGACAAUGGGCGCAAGCCUGAUCCAGCCAUGCCGCGUGAGUGAAGAAGGCCUUAGGGUUGUAAAGCUCUUUUGCCAGGGACGAUAAUGACGGUACCUGGAGAAUAAGCCCCGGCAAACUUCGUGCCAGCCGCCGCGGUAAGAC